AUACGUAGGUGGCGAGCGUUGUCCGGAAUUACUGGGCGUAAAGGGCGUGUAGGCGGGGAUGCAAGUCAGAUGUGAAAUCCCGAGGCUCAACCUCGGAGCUGCAUCUGAAACUGUGUCUCUUGAGUGUCGGAGAGGAAAGCGGAAUUCCCAGUGUAGCGGUGAAAUGCGUAGAUAUUGGGAGGAACACCGGUGGCGAAGGCGGUUUUCUGGACGACAACUGACGCUGAGGCGCGAAAGCGUGGGGAGCAAACAGGAUUAGAUACCCUGGUAGUCCACGCCGUAAACGAUGGAUACUAGGUGUAGGAGGUAUCGACCCCUUCUGUGCCGGAGUUAACACAAUAAGUAUCCCACCUGGGGAGUACGGCCGCAAGGUUGAA
rnacentral:rRNA from 1 species